rnacentral:tRNA from 1 species
GCUCAGUUGGUAGAGCACUCCACCCGUAAUGGAGAGGUCCCGGGUUCGAUACCCGG